rnacentral:rRNA from 1 species
UACGGGGGAGCAAGCGUUGUUCGGAUUUACUGGGCGUAAAGGGCGCGUAGGCGGCCACCGCAAGUCGACUGUGAAAUCUCCGGGCUUAACCCGGAAAGGUCAGCCGAUACUGCGGGCUAGAGUGCAGGAAGGGCAACUGGAAUUCUCGGUGUAGCGGUGAAAUGCGUAGAUAUCGAGAGGAACACCUGCGGCGAAGGCGGGUUGCUGGGCUGACACUGACGCUGAUGCGCGAAAGCUAGGGAGCGAACAGG